rnacentral:rRNA from 1 species
UUAACUAUAUAUAUAGUAUUUGUGACACGAAGUUGAGGGAGCUAGUUAUUAUUAUUAAUAGAUCAGAAGAUGUUACAUAAUUAGCUAAAUAAUAAUUAGGAGUGAUAGGCUUGCCAAACUCAACGAUAACUUGAUGAUUAAGAAAUGUAUUAAUAUAAAAGCACUCAUGGAGUAAUAAGGUUUCAUGAGGAAAACUAACGUUUAAAUGUUAAAGACUAUCUUGUUUAAUCAUUAAUAGAUUAAUAAUAUAACAUUAAUUUCUAACGUUUGUUUAAGUUAUUAAUCUUUAACAUAAUUUAUCAGUUAUUAAUAAUGUUGAUAUUAGUAACAAAAAAGUAUUAAUAAUGAACUCGGCAAUAAGUUUUUCAACUGUUUAUCAAAAACAUAGCCAUAUGAUAUUAUAUGUGGUAAUUUCUGCUCAAUGAAUAAUUAAAUAGCCGCAGUACCUUGACUGUGCUAAGGUAGCGCAAUCAAUUGACUUUUGAAUGAAGUCUAGAAUGAAUGAAAUUAUGGGGAACUACUUUCUCAUUGAUAAUUUUUGAAUUUACUUAUUAAGUGCAAAUUCUUAUGUUUAAAAAAUAGACGAGAAGACCCUAGAAAUUUUGAGGAAUACUUUUUGUUGGGGCAACAAAGUAGCAAUAACUAAUCUACUAUAAAUUACAAGGAAGAAUUAUUUAGGCAGAUUAAAUUACUCUAGGGAUAACAGCAUAAUUUAUUAACGUUUGUGACCUCGAUGUUGGAUUAGGGAAUUAACGUUAGAAG